AGGACGAACGCUGGCGGCGUGCUUAACACAUGCAAGUCGAGCGGUAAGGCCCUUCGGGGUACACGAGCGGCGAACGGGUGAGUAACACGUGGGUAACCUGCCCUGUACUGUGGGAUAAGCCUGGGAAACUGGGUCUAAUACCGCAUAUGACUGCAUUCCGCAUGGGGUGUGGUGGAAAGUUCUGGCGGUACAGGAUGGGCCCGCGGCCUAUCAGCUUGUUGGUGGGGUGAUGGCCUACCAAGGCGACGACGGGUAGCCGGCCUGAGAGGGCGACCGGCCACACUGGGACUGAGACACGGCCCAGACUCCUACGGGAGGCAGCAGUGGGGAAUCUUGCGCAAUGGGCGAAAGCCUGACGCAGCGACGCCGCGUGAGGGAUGACGGCCUUCGGGUUGUAAACCUCUUUCGACCGGGACGAAGCGUGAGUGACGGUACCGGUAGAAGAAGCACCGGCUAACUACGCGCCAGCAGCCGC
rnacentral:rRNA from 1 species